UACAGAGGUCCCGAGCGUUGUUCGGAUUCAUUGGGCGUAAAGGGUGCGUAGGUGGCGGGGUAAGUCAGGUGUGAAAUCUCGGAGCUCAACUCCGAAACUGCACUUGAUACUGCCUUGCUUGAGUACUGGAGAGGAGAUUGGAAUUUACGGUGUAGCAGUGAAAUGCGUAGAUAUCGUAAGGAAGACCAGUGGCGAAGGCGAAUCUCUGGACAGUUACUGACACUGAGGCACGAAGGCCAGGGGAGCAAACGGG
rnacentral:rRNA from 1 species